UAGUCGUACACUGCCAACAUACUCGGAACUGUGGCUCAUAUCCACUGGCUUGUAGGUCAGGACUCGAUCGUAUACGUGCCACUGUCAUAACACUCGAACACAGGCUGGCAGUUAACAACUACCAUCAAACUGUGUACGAUGUGUGGCCCCCACUGAAGGUGUGGACCAGGAUGAGGCUGUGGCCGACUUCCUACUGGUGAAGGUUGUACAUGUUGAUAGCUGUAGUCGACUCUGGUGAUCAGAUGUAUAUUUUGAAGUUCAUCCCUAACAACAACACUGAAGUGCAAUCUCAUGGUAAAUAAAAUUUGUACAAAUGA